rnacentral:rRNA from 1 species
UACGUAGGGGGCAAGCGUUGUCCGGAAUCAUUGGGCGUAAAGCGCGUGUAGGCGGCCAGAAAAGUCCGCUGUGAAAACUCGAGGCUCAACUUCGAGCUGUCGGUGGAAACUUUCUGGCUAGAGUCCGGAAGAGGAGAAUGGAAUUCCUGGUGUAGCGGUGAAAUGCGCAGAUAUCAGGAAGAACACCGGUGGCGAAGGCGGUUCUCUGGGCCUUACCUGACGCUGAGGAGCGAAAGCGUGGGGAGCAAACAGG